UAGCAUAUCAAUAAGCGGAGGAAAAGAAACUAACAAGGAUUUCCCCUAGUAACGGCGAGUGAAGAGGGAAAAGCCCAAAUUUGUAAUCUGGCUCUUUCAUAAGGGUCCGAGUUGUAAUUUUGAGAACUGUUUUCUGUGUUGGACCAUGUACAAGUCUGUUGGAAAACAGCAUCAUUGAGGGUGAUAAUCCCGUACAUGAUAUGGACUACCAGUGCAAUAUGAUACAGUCUCUAAGAGUCGAGUUGUUUGGGAAUGCAGCUCAAAGUGGGUGGUAAAUUCCAUCUAAGGCUAAAUAUAGGUGAGAGACCGAUAGCAAACAAGUACCGUGAGGGAAAGAUGAAAAGAACUUUGGAAAGAGAGUUAACAGUACGUGAAAUUGUUAAAAGGGAAACAUUUGAAGUUAGACUUGUUAUUAUUGGUUCAGCUUCUUUUUUUAAUUAGGAGUCUAUUCCAAUGGUUGACAGACCAGCAUCAAUUUUUGAGUGUUAGAUAAGGGUCUUGAGAAUGUGGCAACUUUUGGUUGUGUUAUAGCUCUUGGCUUGAUAUAAUGCUUAGGAUUGAGGAACGCAGUGAGCUUUUUAAAAAGUGGAUUCAUUUUUUGAAUCUCAUCACUACGGAUGUUGGUGUAAUAGCUUUAAAUGACCCGUCUG
rnacentral:rRNA from 1 species